rnacentral:rRNA from 1 species
ACAGCAGCCGCCGCGGUAAUACGUAGGGUGCAAGCGUUACUCGGAAUUACUGGGCGUAAAGCGUGUGUAGGUGGUUGUUUAAGUCUGUCGUGAAAGCCCUGGGCUCAACCUGGGAAUUGCGAUGGAUACUGGGCGACUAGAGUGCGGUAGAGGAUAGUGGAAUUUCCGGUGUAGCAGUGAAAUGCGUAGAGAUCGGAAGGAACAUCUGUGGCGAAGGCGACUAUCUGGGCCAACACUGACACUGAGACACGAAAGCGUGGGGAGCAAACAGGAUUAGAUACCCCCGUAGUCCCUGUCUCUUAUAC